GACGAACGCUGGCGGCGUGCUUAACACAUGCAAGUCGAACGAUGAAGCCGGAGCUUGCUCCGGUGGAUUAGUGGCGAACGGGUGAGUAACGCGUGAGCAAUCUGCCCUUGACUCUGGGAUAACUGCGGGAAACUGUAGCUAAUACCGGAUACGACACCUUGGGGCAUCCCAGGGUGUGGAAAGAAUUUCGGUCAAGGAUGGACUCGCGGCCUAUCAGCUAGUUGGUGAGGUAAAGGCUCACCAAGGCGACGACGGGUAGCCGGCCUGAGAGGGUGACCGGCCACACUGGGACUGAGACACGGCCCCGACUCCUACGGGAGGCAGCAGUGGGGAAUAUUGCACAAUGGGCGCAAGCCUGAUGCAGCAACGCCGCGUGAGGGAUGACGGCCUUCGGGUUGUAAACCUCUUUUAGCAGGGAAGAAGCGAAAGUGACGGUACCUGCAGAAAAAGCACCGGCUAACUACGUGCCAGCCGCCGCCGUAA
rnacentral:rRNA from 1 species